rnacentral:rRNA from 1 species
GACGAACGCUGGCGGCGUGCUUAACACAUGCAAGUCGAACGAAGUGGCGAACGGGUGAGUAACGCGUAAUCAACCUGCCCUUCAGAGGGGGACAACAGUUGGAAACGACUGCUAAUACCGCAUACUGAACGCGGGGCUUGCGUCUGAUUAGCUAGUUGGAGGGGUAACGGCCCACCAAGGCGAUGAUCAGUAGCCGGUCUGCGAGGAUGAACGGCCAAAGUGGGACUGGGACACGGCCCAGAGUCCUACGGGAGGCAGCAGUGGGGAAUCUUCCGCAAUGGACGAAAGUCUGACGGAGCAACGCCGCGUGAGGGAUGACGGCCUUCGGGGUGGAAAGCGCUGUUAAUCGGGACGCGGUACCGGAAUAGAAAGCCACGGCUAACUACGUGCCAGCAGCCGCGGUAAUAC